UACGAAGGGGGCUAGCGUUGCUCGGAAUCACUGGGCGUAAAGCGCACGUAGGCGGAUUGCUAAGUCAGGGGUGAAAUCCUGGAGCUCAACUCCAGUACUGCCUUUGAUACUGGCGAUCUCGAGUCCGGGAGAGGUGAGUGGAACUGCGAGUGUAGAGGUGAAAUUCGUAGAUAUUCGCAAGAACACCAGUGGCGAAGGCGGCUCACUGGCCCGGUACUGACGCUGAGGUGCGAAAGCGUGGGGAGCAAACAGG
rnacentral:rRNA from 1 species